UACGUAGGGUGCAAGCGUUAAUCGGAAUUACUGGGCGUAAAGCGUGCGCAGGCGGUUGUGCAAGACAGAUGGGAAAUCCCCGGGCUCAACCUGGGAACUGCAUUUGUGACUGCACGGCUGGAGUGCGGCAGAGGGGGAUGGAAUUCCGCGUGUAGCAGUGAAAUGCGUAGAUAUGCGGAGGAACACCGAUGGCGAAGGCAAUCCCCUGGGCCUGCACUGACGCUCAUGCACGAAAGCGUGGGGAGCAAACAGG
rnacentral:rRNA from 1 species